AACCUAGCACACCUGCGGUGUGUACCUGCGGAGGGAUCAUUAAAAAAAUCCUUUUUGCCCGCGGACUUUGCUCCAAGGCGCAAAAAACCCACACUGUGUGCACCGUUAUCGUUUCUUUGGCAGGGGCUUGGGGUUGGUUUUUUCCGCCUCAACUUCUCCUCCGGUUCUAUCUCUUUUUUUGGGACAGCUGGACAUGGGAAGCAGUUACCCUGCCAAGUAACCCUUUAAAAUCACGCUUUU
rnacentral:misc_RNA from 1 species